rnacentral:rRNA from 1 species
UGGUGAACAUUGCACAAUGGGCGCAAGCCUGAUGCAGCCAUGCCGCGUGUAUGAAGAAGGCCUUCGGGUUGUAAAGUACUUUCAGCGGGGAGGAAGGGAGUAAAGUUAAUACCUUUGCUCAUUGACGUUACCCGCAGAAGAAGCACCGGCUAACUCCGUGCCAGCAGCCGCGGUAAUACGGAGGGUGCAAGCGUCAAUCGGAAUUACUGGGAGUAAAGCGCACGCAGGCGGUUUGUUAAGUCAGACGUGAAAUCCCCGGGCUCAACCUGGGAACUGCAUCUGAUACUGGCUGGCUUGAGUCUGGUAGAGGGGGGUAGAAUUCCAGGUGUAGCGGUGAAAUGCGUAGAGAUCGGGGGGAAUACCGGUGGGGAAGGCGGCCCCCUGGACGAAGACUGACGCUCAGGUGCGAAAGCGUGGGGGGCAAACGGG